rnacentral:rRNA from 1 species
AGUCUAAGCCAUACCAUCCUGAAUGCACCCGAUCUUGUCUGGUCUCCAAAGCUAAGCAGGGUUGGGCCUGGUUAGUACUUGGAUGGAAGACAGAUCUUCAGAGGUGACUGCUCAGAGAC